rnacentral:rRNA from 1 species
UACAGAGGGUGCAAGCGUUAAUCGGAAUUACUGGGCGUAAAGCGUGCGUAGACGGUCAUGUAAGUCGGGUGUGAAAGCCCCGGGCUCAACCUGGGAAUUGCAUUCGAGACUGCAUGGCUAGGAUGCGGAAGAGGGAAGCGGAAUUUCCGGUGUAGCGGUGAAAUGCGUAGAUAUCAGGAGGAACACCUGCGGUGUAGACGGCUUACUGGACCAUAACUGACGCUGAGGCACGAAAGCGUGGGUAGCAAACAGG